GACGAACGCUGGCGGCGUGCCUAACACAUGCAAGUCGAACGGAGAUAUGCGAACGAGGCCUUCGGGCGGAGAUUGCAUAUUUUAGUGGCGGACGGGCGAGUAACGCGUGAGCAACCUGCCCUUCAGAGGGGGAUAACGGCUGGAAACGGCCGCUAAUACCGCAUGACAUAUACACAAGGCAUCUUGAGUAUAUCAAAGGAGGAAUCCGCUGAAGGAUGGGCUCGCGUCCGAUUAGCUGGUUGGUGAGGUAACGGCUCACCAAGGCGACGAUCGGUAGCCGAACUGAGAGGUUGAUCGGCCGCAUUGGGACUGAGACACGGCCCAGACUCCUACGGGAGGCAGCAGUGGGGGAUAUUGCACAAUGGAGGAAACUCUGAUGCAGCGACGCCGCGUGGGGGAAAAGGUCUUCGGAUUGUAAACCUCAGUAGUCAGGGAAGAAGCAAGUGACGGUACCUGAAGAGUAAGCUCCGGCUAACUACGUGCC
rnacentral:rRNA from 1 species